UACGUAGGGCGCGAGCGUUAUCCGGAAUUAUUGGGCGUAAAGAGCGUGUAGGCGGCCAAGCAGGUCCGUUGUGAAAACUGGAGGCUUAACCUCCAGACGUCGACGGAAACCGCGUGGCUAGAGUCCGGAAGAGGAGAGUGGAAUUCCUGGUGUAGCGGUGAAAUGCGCAGAUAUCAGGAAGAACACCAAUGGCGAAGGCAGCUCUCUGGGACGGUACUGACGCUGAGACGCGAAAGCGUGGGGAGCGAACAGG
rnacentral:rRNA from 1 species